rnacentral:rRNA from 1 species
UACGUAGGGGGCAAGCGUUAUCCGGAUUUACUGGGUGUAAAGGGAGCGUAGACGGAGCAGCAAGUCUGAUGUGAAAGACCGGGGCUUAACCCCGGGCCUGCAUUGGAAACUGUUGAUCUUGAGUGCCGGAGGGGUAAGCGGAAUUCCUGGUGUAGCGGUGAAAUGCGUAGAUAUCAGGAGGAACACCGGUGGCGAAGGCGGCUUACUGGACGGCAACUGACGUUGAGGCUCGAAAGCGUGGGGAGCAAACAGG